GUUCACACCUGAGACCCAACCGUUCACACCUAGGCCCGCGUGACGUGUCGCCGCUCUCCCUUCUUCUCUUCCCAUUCCGUCCGCGAUGUGCGGCGAUAUCUAGGGUCCCUGACAAGUUUCCGGCGAUUCUCCGGUGAUUUGCCUAGCGAAUCUCUCGGCGGCGAGGUUGGUGUUUCUCGGGAGGUUCGCGGGCUAGUUGGUGUGGGCGUGGGGGAGGUCGUCGUCCUCCAGGCUGGAGAUCGAGACGUGCGGGAGGUCGUCAUCCUCCAGGCCGGAGAUCGAGACGCGCGGGAGGUCGUCGUCCUCCGGGCCGGAGAUCGAGACACGCGGGAGGAUGUCUUCCUUCAGGCCUAAGAGCGAGCCGUGCGUCAGGGUUGCGUGCUCGGCGGCGAGAGUUAGGGCGCGCUGGUGAACGGGAUUUCGUCACCAGAGAGUGUCGCACGCGAGAGAGCGGUGGAAGCUCAUCUGUGUUCAUAUAUUCACCGGUGGAGGGUUUCCUGCGGGCAAGGGCUUCACAGAUGGGCAACACGUAGGCUGUUGGGCAUCACAGAUCUGAAAUUCAGUGGAUUUUUUGCUCUGCACAAGUGCUUCAGGGAUUGACUGUGGAGGUUCGUGGGCAUCCGAUAUCUGCAAUUCAGCCAUUUACUUCUUUUUCUAGCAACGUUGUCUCCAUGGAGGAGCAAAUCCCUUCACUAGCUCAUCGCGGCACCCGGGCUGUCCGUGCACUGACGCGGCGGUUAGAGAAUUGGAAGGAUACACGGCGGCGGGUUCAGGAGUGCCAGGGAUAAGGGCUACGGCUGACUGCUAAGUGCAUCUCGCUGCCUUCUCUUCUGUUAAAUCGCUUGAACUCUCUUUAGUAGAGUUGCUAGCCACUUCAGUUGAGUAGAUUAUCCUUGGUAAUUAAAUUGUCCAUAUCCUUAAGUAAGUUGUUUACUACUCAUUUUUAUCAAGUUUUGUUUUGAUGCAAUAUCCAUGCUAUGUUUCACUUUAGUAGAGUUUCUAGUCACUUAAUUAAGUUGCCCAUACCCUUAAGUAAGUUUUUUGCUGCUCAUUUUUAUCAAGCAUCAAUGCUACGUCUCGCCAAGUAGAGAGCAAUUUUUUAGGUAAAAUGUUGAUGUCUAUUACCUCUAGUAGUUACUGAUUAUUGGCAAAAACGUUGGGUGAAUUGUUGAUGUCCACUACCUUUAUUAGUACUGAUUUUGGGGUACUCCAUCUGAUCCAUAUAAGUGUCAUGGUUGUAUUUCAAAUUCAACUAAAAAUGAACUAAAACCACGACAAUUAUUAUGAAUUGGAGGAACUAAAUGUUUUCUGCCUUAUUAAUGCCUUUCUUAAAGAAUGGUUUAUUUGCCCGAUUAUGACCAAGUUGUUUUGCUAAUAUGAUGAUGUUCGUUAUUAGUUUGUAACUAAGUUACUUUUUCUCUGUAUGCAUGAUCUUAUAGUUUUUAGCUUGAUGCUUAGCAACAUCAUUUUUAAGUUGCAUAUUGAUUUCGAUUGAGUUGUUUAUUCAACAUGUGUAAGUUGGUUUUUAUUUUUAACUAAGUUAAUUUUUGCCAUCAUGUUUAACUAAGUUCUGUAGGUAUCAUGUUAAUUUUUGAGUUACAAGCAAAUUUCCUGAAGUAGUAUGGUGAAUUCAGCCAAGUUGCCUUCUUGUUAGCUAGCUGUUUUUUUUGAAAUAGGGGAGCUCCAGCCUCUGCAUCAAAGUGAUGCAGACAACUUUUAUUUCCACAAUAUGCUAAGUUGUUUUUCGACAAUAUGCAAUAAAAGUUGACUUGGCAUCAUUAUUAUGUUGCAUAUGCGAUACUUCUGUUUACUACAGCUAUAUUCAUGAAGGUGAGCAUAAGGUCAAGUUACGCUGAAUUGCCCUCAUGAUUUAAGUUGUUUUUCUAAAUACCUAACUUGCCUAUGGGCUAGCUGUUUUUAGUAAAGCUAAUUCAUAAAGGUGGGCAUAAUGUUCAUUUUAAGUUGAUUGCCAUCAUAAUUAUGUUGCUUUUUGCUAAAUACCUAAGUUGCAUAUGGGCUAGACUGUGGGGAUUUUAGCUUGCGGUGCGCUCAUUUUUAUGUGUGCUCCGCCCCGUUCCUGAUGAUUCGGCUAUGUAGGAUGUAGAUGUCCUGUAAAAAUCAUCAUAAUGCCCACGAUUUAGCUAGAUAUUUGAUCUUAUAUUGCUGCUGUCCUAGUGAUAGUGAGCAUUCAUGUGCACGAAUGUUGCCAUGUAUGAAAAAAUUCACUUGUGAGUAAGGGAUGCCCGCCACAUUAAUCGCAUUCCCAUCCAGCUAGCACUCUGUAUCAUUGAAUCACUAGACACCAAGUGCUUCAACUUAUUCUGCAUUGUUGCAAACACGUCUAGCUGCAAGUACCACUUUACAUCCAUGAUAAUUCAUAUAGUAUUGACCUGCCUGCAGAGUGGGCAUCCUGUAUUUUUUUAGCUGUCACAUGUUUGUACUUUGUAGGAAAAGUAAGUAUUUUCAAUAUAUUAAUAGAUGAAUUAUUUUCUCAAGGGUAUCUCUGUAGGAGGAGAAGUGAGAUGAUUCUGCAUAAAAUACAAAAGAUAUGUAAACGGUGCCCAUGCUACUACAUGUUCAGAAUCCUAUAAAAUUGUCAACCGCUGAAUUGACCCAUUCUGCAAUGUUAGUCUUCUUGUUCUUCGCUGGUGGUCACCUGCUCGAGCUGCUGUUUGACUAAAUGGUUAAGUUGCUACUGCUUUCAGUAAAUUUGAUUGUUCAUCAUGCUUAAGUUGGUUACAAAAAGUAACUAAGUUCCUUUUUUGCUUUUUAUGGUUCAACAUGCUUAACUUUCAUACUGUUUUUCAUUGAGUUGUUCGUACAACAUGGUUAAGUUAUGUACUACAUAUAGCUAAGUUUGAUUUUCACAUCAUGGGUUUAAGUUGCCACGGGGUUUUUUCCUAGGAGGUAUAAAACCACCUGUAGCUUUUCGAGCCUUUUCCAUUUCAUCAACAUGCAUAAGUUGGUUCAUGGUUUUAAUUAAGUUGUUUUAAUUGUUAUGGUUAAGUUGGUACUGAAUUUGGUUAAAUUGAUUCUUACAAAAAAAUGUUGUCCUUUACAUUAUAUCUAGGUUUUUAUUUCCCUCAGCUAGAGAUGCAAGUGGGCCAAGAUUAGGGUACCCUCUACCCUAUUUGGUUAAAAAAUGAACUAAUAAUUUUGGAUGACAUCAUCAUUUUAGUUCAACUUUUGCAGAAAAGAGGGUAAAGGGUACCCUAAUGUUGCCCCACUUGCAUCUAUACCCUCAGCUAACCUAUACAAGUUGGCUCUUGUUUUUUAAGUUAGUUUCCUUUGUUAGAAUGCUCAAGUUCAAAGCUGAAAGUUAUUAAGUUGGUUUUCCUGCUAGUCACGUUUUUCCUUUUUUAGUUUGUGCUUCAAAUUGUAGGUAGUUGGAUACUAUAGUUUAGAGUUGCCUUGCCAACAUGCUUAAGUCGAGUAGUGAAAUUAAUUAACUUGAUUCCUCCAACAUGCUUAAGUUGUUGGGUAUUAGUAUAAUCUAUCUGGUUUUCGUUUUUGAGCGACAUGCACAAGUUGGUUAGUAGUCUAAUUAAGUUGCCUUGUCAAGAUGUUUAAAGUUCUUAUCUAGGGCCGCACAACCAGUACCAUCUCGAGCACGGUGGUGGAGGAGGCCAUGGCGCCUAGCUACCUCGAGUAGGUGGCGGCACCCACGAAGCCUAGCAUGAGCGCAAGCCUGCCAUGGCCCCUGACCAAGGUUCAAUGGAGAUCUGCAAGAGAGAAAGAAGAGAAGAGUGCUGGGAGGGGCGUCACGUGGUCCUUGGCCGUGGUUGGCGCUUGUGAGCUAGAGGUACACAGUUACGUGAGGGAUGGUCCAGGUGGCGUUGGACUGUUGGAGAACCUGGUCAGCUACCGGGGCGAAUAUGUGUCUGUGUUUUUUUUUGGGCGAGUGCUGGGUGGGACAAAAGAGCACCCGAAUGCUGGGUGGAACAAAAGAGCACCCGGAUGCUGGGAUAGACAAAACAGCACCGGAUGCUAGCUAGCCACGUCCUACUUUUAAUGACGUACGGACUCACAUAUACUAGUAAAGAUGGAAAUAUUUAAUUUGUCAUAUACUCUGAAGGAAAUGUUAGAUAUGUGUGAUAGAAGAAAAACCUUAGAGCA